UGGGUACUUCGAUACACAAAAUCGAGCCCUGUCGAGUCCUAGUUCUGCCUUUAUGCUGUUGGAUUUGGUCAAGGACAACUUCAUAAACGUUUUGCAGACGAUUGUGAUCGGUGGUUCGAUCAAUUGGAUUAAGCCUCACUUAAUUCCGCCUGGGUUUUGUCAGCUUCGUGAUAUCUCCCGAAUGUGUUUGGCUGAGAAGUAAUUACACGCUGGUCCUGGGAGAUGAUAAUGCCAUGGAUCAGACCCAAUCGAUGCAGGAUCAGAUGUCGAUAGUUUAGAUAGUUCAAUAAAUGAAUAAAGAUACAUACAAAA